GCCUAUGGCCACACCAUCCUGGAAAUGCCUGAACUCGUCUGAUCUAGAAAGCUAAGCAGGGUUGGGCUCCAUUAGUACUUGGUAGGUAAUGCAGAAAGAUAGGGA
rnacentral:rRNA from 1 species